GCCCGAGCGCCCGUUUGGUGACCCCAAUGCUGAUAACCUAGAUUGCAGUCCAGCUCUGCCGUUCCCAGUUCCACCAGGCACCAAACCCAACUGCACGCAGAAUAUCGGCCAGAUUGGAGCUCGGUUUGCUCACCAUCCAUCGUGGCAUCAGCCGUUUCUCAUGUCCUGGAU
rnacentral:misc_RNA from 1 species